rnacentral:rRNA from 1 species
UGAACGCUAGCUACAGGCUUAACACAUGCAAGUCGAGGGGCAGCAUGGUCUUAGCUUGCUAAGGCCGAUGGCGACCGGCGCACGGGUGAGUAACACGUAUCCAACCUGCCGUCUACUCUUGGACAGCCUUCUGAAAGGAAGAUUAAUACAAGAUGGCAUCAUGAGUCCGCAUGUUCACAUGAUUAAAGGUAUUCCGGUAGACGAUGGGGAUGCGUUCCAUUAGAUAGUAGGCGGGGUAACGGCCCACCUAGUCUUCGAUGGAUAGGGGUUCUGAGAGGAAGGUCCCCCACAUUGGAACUGAGACACGGUCCAAACUCCUACGGGAGGCAGCAGUGAGGAAUAUUGGUCAAUGGGCGCAGGCCUGAACCAGCCAAGUAGCGUGAAGGAUGACUGCCCUAUGGGUUGUAAACUUCUUUUAUAAAGGAAUAAAGUCGGGUAUGGAUACCCGUUUGCAUGUACUUUAUGAAUAAGGAUCGGCUAACUCCGUGCCAGCAGCCGCGGUAAUACGGAGGAUCCGAGCGUUAUCCGGAUUUAUUGGGUUUAAAGGGAGCGUAGAUGGAUGUUUAAGUCAGUUGUGAAAGUUUGCGGCUCAACCGUAAAAUUGCAGUUGAUACUGGAUAUCUUGAGUGCAGUUGAGGCAGGCGGAAUUCGUGGUGUAGCGGUGAAAUGCUUAGAUAUCACGAAGAACUCCGAUUGCGAAGGCAGCCUGCUAAGCUGCAACUGACAUUGAGGCUCGAAAGUGUGGGUAUCAAACAGGAUUAGAUACCCUGGUAGUCCACACGGUAAACGAUGAAUACUCGCUGUUUGCGAUAUACUGCAAGCGGCCAAGCGAAAGCGUUAAGUAUUCCACCUGGGGAGUACGCCGGCAACGGUGAAACUCAAAGGAAUUGACGGGGGCCCGCACAAGCGGAGGAACAUGUGGUUUAACUCGAUGAUACGCGAGGAACCUUACCCGGGCUUAAAUUGCAGAUGAAUUACGGUGAAAGCCGUAAGCCGCAAGGCAUCUGUGAAGGUGCUGCAUGGUUGUCGUCAGCUCGUGCCGUGAGGUGUCGGCUUAAGUGCCAUAACGAGCGCAACCCUUGUUGUCAGUUACUAACAGGUUCCGCUGAGGACUCUGACAAGACUGCCAUCGUAAGAUGUGAGGAAGGUGGGGAUGACGUCAAAUCAGCACGGCCCUUACGUCCGGGGCUACACACGUGUUACAAUGGGGGGUACAGAGGGCCGCUACCACGCGAGUGGAUGCCAAUCCCAAAAACCUCUCUCAGUUCGGACUGGAGUCUGCAACCCGACUCCACGAAGCUGGAUUCGCUAGUAAUCGCGCAUCAGCCACGGCGCGGUGAAUACGUUCCCGGGCCUUGUACACACCGCCCGUCAAGCCAUGGGAGCCGGGGGUACCUGAAGUGCGUAACCGCGAGGAGCGCCCUAGGGUAAAACUGGUAAAGGGG